GUCCACGCCUAACGAUGUCAACUGGUUGUUGGUCUUCACUGACUCAGUAACGAAGCUAACGCGUGAAGUUGACCGCCUGGGAGUACGGCCGCAAGGUUGAACUCAAAGGAAUUGACGGGACCCGCACAAGCGGUGGAUGAUGUGGUUUAAUUCGAUGCAACGCGAAACCUUAACCCACCUUUGACAUGUACGGAAGUCGCUAGAGAUAGCUUCGUGCUCGAAAGAGAGCCCGUAAACACAGGUGCUGCAUGGCUGUCGU
rnacentral:rRNA from 1 species